rnacentral:rRNA from 1 species
AAUAGAUACCCCGGUAGUCCACGCCGUAAACGAUGAGUGCUAGGUGUUGGGGGGUUCCACCCUCAGUGCUGAGGUUAACACAUUAAGCACUCCGCCUGGGGAGUACGACCGCAAGGUUGAAACUCAAAGGAAUUGACGGGGGCCCGCACAAGCAGUGGAGCAUGUGGUUUAAUUCGAAGCAACGCGAAGAACCUUACCAGGUCUUGACAUCCUUUGACCACUCUAGGGAUAGAGCUUUCCCCUUCGGGGGACAAAGUGACAGGUGGUGCAUGGUUGUCGUCAGCUCGUGUCGUGAGAUGUUGGGUUAAGUCCCGCAACGAGCGCAACCCUUGACCUUAGUUGCCAGCAUUCAGUUGGGCACUCUAAGGUGACUGCCGGUGACAAACCGGAGGAAGGUGGGGACGACGUCAAAUCAUCAUGCCCCUUAUGACCUGGGCUACACACGUGCUACAAUGGAUGAUACAAAGGGUUGCGAAGCCGCGAGGCCAAGCCAAUCCCAAAAAGUCAUUCUCAGUUCGGAUUGUAGGCUGCAACUCGCCUA